rnacentral:lncRNA from 1 species
GUCCAACAAGAAAUCCCACUUAAGAAAGGAGAUGUAAGAAAGAAUGGACUUCUCCUUUCUUCACACGUGAACACUUUCACCGUGCGCACAAUGUAGGGCAAAUAAAAUCAGCCUUCUCCCUUCUUUGGUCGGCCACCUUAUGAGAGAGAGUCUCAGGUAAUUGGGACUCUUUGGUUCUUAAUCAAAUGGGCUCAGAUUUGACUCAUUUUGAAUCUAAUUUGAACCCGAUUCGAACC